AAUUACAAUCCAGGAAAAGUCUAUCUUGGCUUCUGCAUUCCAAGUAAUUCCACGAGGUGGUGAGACUUUAUAUCUGCCAUCAACCUCAGAGGACUAACUGGAAAAAAAAUGUGUGCAUAUAUUAAUUAUUCUUCCAUAUGUCAUAUACUGGAAAAGUGCAUGGUAACAUCACGAUGAGUGAUGAGGGAUGUCACUUCUUGGACCAUCUUUCUGCACUAUGUCUGAAACCCUGGGGUUUAAGCUGUCACCAGCAUAUUUAGACAGCUGUGAAAAUACCAAAAUCUGUUCUCCUCUCAGGAUUGCCAGCUCCAAUCAAGUUUUAUAAUGUCACUCAUUUCAGGGGGAUUCUCCUGAUUCUCCAUGCCCUUGGAAAUGAUGGUGAAUUUACGCUGAGCUAAUUGUCGCUUGCAAGCUGAGCAGGAAUGAGGCUGUGUGAAAUGCUAGAGAGUGCCUUGAUAAACAAAGUGCCAGAGUAAACUGAAUUGCAGAUCUAGAUGCUCUGAUGAGAAAUGCUGUCCAUGGAUUGCAUUGCCUUGCUCCUGCUUGCUUCUGUCUCAUCAAUAUUGGGCAGGUGAAGGGACCUUUGCAUGUAACUGAGAUGGGGAAGUGUAUCUACAGCAGAUUCAAAGAAAACUCUUCUAAUUGAACUGGCAGCUCAGAUGGGAGGAAUUUUUGGGACAUCAUCUUGAGACUUCUCAGCGCUGCUGACGCCCAGGAAAACCAUGGUUGGAUUCAGCCCUGAACAAGAUGCAUUCUGUCUGUAAGUGCCCUGGCCUAGCCAUGCUUUUCAAAGAGGAUGAGGGACAAUUUUCUUGGUAUAAUUUCUAUUAUGAAUGGUUGCAGAGGAUGGGAGUAAUGGUGACAUUCUCAUGCAAGUUCUUGGAAGAGUAAGUAUUCUGUCUGUGAGGGUUGUGGUGAGUGGAUGCCCACCUUUUGAUUUUGAAAGGAAACCAUUGCCAUUACUUUAGUGCCUUAGUGGAUUGUGAAUGCUCUAGAAUGAGAGUGGGGAGGAAUAAUGCAAUUAGAUAAAGUGCUGGCUCUGCUAUCUGUGACCCCACUGGUGGUGGUGGAGAUGCA